GACCUGUAAGAAUCGGCGGCAGCGACAGCGAAAAGGGCGGCGAGGAUGAAGAACUAAUAAAAUAUGGAACAUUUGACGCCAUGUAAAAGCACUUUCAAAGCCACGCUGAAGUCGAUGACCACUGAAACGCUUCAUGCUAAAGGUCAUCUAUUCUUUCUUCAUUUACAACUCAAGAAGGCUCAGUUGGAUGAAUAAAUUUCAUGAUGGCAGUUUUUACAUUUGAAGCCUUUUCUCUAUUCUUUUAUUGUUCGUCGUGUUUCUGUGGAUUAAGAAAUCGCAUUUUUUUAUUUUUGGGUGAUUUAGUUAUUGAAUUGUAUCUGCGUUUUGAACUUGUGGUAAUCCUAUCCAUUCCGAGUGGUUCUGGCCCUUCAGUUUCCGCAGGACAAAAGAAUUCCUUGCUGUUCAAAAACAUCCACGUUCGGUGGUUUAAAUUCAGUAUCGUUUCCUGUGUAUGUUUCUAUUGUACCUGAUUUUGGAGCUAACUUGGUGAGCCCGUUCUGCAUCAUCAAAGAUUUGGGAUCAUCAUCGCGGGUAAACGAUUUAGGAACUGCAGAGUCUGCGAUUUGUAUGCCGGAGCUUCGUACUUGGGAGCGUAUUCGGCUGACCUGUAAGAAUCGGCGGCAGCGACAGCGAAAAGGGCGGCGAGGAUGAUGAACUAAUAAAAUAGGAACAUUUGACGCCAUGUAAAAGAUAUAGGUCUACAACUCUCCAUGACGUCCAUGCCCAUCUCCACAUCCAACUCUUUCAUGUCGUCCAUGUGUUGCUUUCAUUGCCCGUUUUACUCACUACCUGGUGCAAAACAAAAUAAUGGGUCCUCGGGUCACCUCAGCACAUGCACUUUCAUAGGCACUUCCAUGCCGAAUCGAUGACCACGAAGCGCUUCACGCUAAAGGCCAGCACAUUUUUCUGAAUUGUGUAUCCAUAUUCUGAAUGCAGUUUUUUUCCAUUGUCGUCGUUUUUCCGUGAACCAAGUAAUCGAUUUUUUUUUAACUUUUUGGGUAUCUAUGUAGUUAUCGAUUUCUAUCUGCGUAUUGAACUUAUGGUGAUCCAAUCCAUCCCAAUCGGUUCCGGCCAUCCAAUUUUCGCAAGGAAGAAGAAUUCCUUUUUAUUUUAAAACAGAACCGAGAAUCCAGGAAUAUUUUAGCGCUUCCAUAAUUAAAAUAUUUAUGGUAGUACUUUGAUCGAAUUGAAUUUUUGUAUUAAAUAAUAAGUUUAGAUACACACAUUUCAGCGGUUUCAA